AGAGUUUGAUCCUGGCUCAGGACGAACGCUGGCGGCGUGCCUAAUACAUGCAAGUAGAACGCUGAAGAGAGGAGCUUGCUCUUCUUGGAUGAGUUGCGAACGGGUGAGUAACGCGUAGGUAACCUGCCUUGUAGCGGGGGAUAACUAUUGGAAACGAUAGCUAAUACCGCAUAACAAUGGAUGACACAUGUCAUUUAUUUGAAAGGGGCAAUUGCUCCACUACAAGAUGGACCUGCGUUGUAUUAGCUAGUAGGUGAGGUAACGGCUCACCUAGGCGACGAUACAUAGCCGACCUGAGAGGGUGAUCGGCCACACUGGGACUGAGACACGGCCCAGACUCCUACGGGAGGCAGCAGUAGGGAAUCUUCGGCAAUGGGGGCAACCCUGACCGAGCAACGCCGCGUGAGUGAAGAAGGUUUUCGGAUCGUAAAGCUCUGUUGUAAGUCAAGAACGAGUGUGAGAGUGGAAAGUUCACACUGUGACGGUAGCUUACCAGAAAGGGACGGCUAACUACGUGCCAGCAGCCGCGGUAAUACGUAGGUCCCGAGCGUUGUCCGGAUUUAUUGGGCGUAAAGCGAGCGCAGGCGGUUUGAUAAGUCUGAAGUUAAAGGCUGUGGCUCAACCAUAGUUCGCUUUGGAAACUGUCAAACUUGAGUGCAGAAGGGGAGAGUGGAAUUCCAUGUGUAGCGGUGAAAUGCGUAGAUAUAUGGAGGAACACCGGUGGCGAAAGCGGCUCUCUGGUCUGUAACUGACGCUGAGGCUCGAAAGCGUGGGGAGCGAACAGGAUUAGAUACCCUGGUAGUCCACGCCGUAAACGAUGAGUGCUAGGUGUUGGAUCCUUUCCGGGAUUCAGUGCCGCAGCUAACGCAUUAAGCACUCCGCCUGGGGAGUACGACCGCAAGGUUGAAACUCAAAGGAAUUGACGGGGGCCCGCACAAGCGGUGGAGCAUGUGGUUUAAUUCGAAGCAACGCGAAGAACCUUACCAGGUCUUGACAUCCCGAUGCUAUUUCUAGAGAUAGAAAGUUACUUCGGUACAUCGGUGACAGGUGGUGCAUGGUUGUCGUCAGCUCGUGUCGUGAGAUGUUGGGUUAAGUCCCGCAACGAGCGCAACCCCUAUUGUUAGUUGCCAUCAUUCAGUUGGGCACUCUAGCGAGACUGCCGGUAAUAAACCGGAGGAAGGUGGGGAUGACGUCAAAUCAUCAUGCCCCUUAUGACCUGGGCUACACACGUGCUACAAUGGUUGGUACAACGAGUUGCGAGUCGGUGACGGCAAGCUAAUCUCUUAAAGCCAAUCUCAGUUCGGAUUGUAGGCUGCAACUCGCCUACAUGAAGUCGGAAUCGCUAGUAAUCGCGGAUCAGCACGCCGCGGUGAAUACGUUCCCGGGCCUUGUACACACCGCCCGUCACACCACGAGAGUUUGUAACACCCGAAGUCGGUGAGGUAACCUUUUGGAGCCAGCCGCCUAAGGUGGGAUAGAUGAUUGGGGUGAAGUCGUAACAAGGUAGCCGU
rnacentral:rRNA from 1 species